AACGAACGCUGGCGGCGUGCCUAACACAUGCAAGUCGAACGGAGAUAAGGGGCUUGCUCCUUAUUUUAGUGGCGCACGGGUGAGUAACGCGUGGAUAAUCUGCCUGAUGCUCUGGGAUAACAUCUCGAAAGGGGUGCUAAUACCGGAUAAGCCCACGGGAUCUUCGGAUCUUGCGGGAAAAGGAGGGGACCUUCGGGCCUUCCGACAUCAGAUGAGUCCGCGUCCCAUUAGCUAGUUGGUGGUGUAAUGGACCACCAAGGCGACGAUGGGUAGCUGGUCUGAGAGGAUGAUCAGACACACUGGAACUGAGACACGGUCCAGACUCCUACGGGAGGUAGCAGUGGGGAAUUUUGCGCAAUGGGGGAAACCCUGACGCAGCAACGCCGCGUGAGUGAUGAAGGCCUUCGGGUCGUAAAGCUCUUUUAGUGGGGAAGAGUCCCUUUUUGGCUAAUAUCCAAGGAGGAUGGCGGUACCCACAGAAAAAGUUCCGGCUAACUACGUGCCAGCAGCCGCCGUAACAC
rnacentral:rRNA from 1 species